AAAUGUGUUUGAUAAUAGUAUAAAAGAAAAAAAUUGUCAAUUGGGGGAAGAAAAGAAGCACACGGGUUGUCUUGCUCUUGCUCUUGCUCAUCACUGCUAGUUGUGCACUGAGUCUUGUUCAGAUCUGCAACCAUGCCAACAGAUGCGGCUGGAAAUAAGGGUAAGCAUGUUAUUAUUACCCCGGGUAGCUGGCAAAAGGGUGAACUUUUGGGGCGUGGUUCGUUUGGAUCUGUGUUUGAAGCGAUUUCUGAGUAAGCUCCUUUAUUUAACUUUUGUUUCCUUCAAGGGACUCAGAAUGGGAUCUGGUGUAUCAUUGUUUCUGCAGGAUCUAUCUAUUUUAUUCCUAUCUUUACUUAGGAUCGAUAAGAUACGAAUAUACAAUGAUAUCUUAAGAGUCUCUGCACUUUUGUGAAUGUCAAAGUAUCAGAGGGUGGAAGAAUGUUCUUCUUUAUGUUUUACUAACAAUUGUUGUCUCAAAUACCGUUUUCAACAUAAAUAGUAGUAGCUAUUUGUUAUGGUGAGUAUAAUAGGUUGAAUUCAUUAGGUCUAUGUUUCUUGAACUAAUAACACUCAAGUUUUCCGUUUGUUGCUAAUUGAGGUUAUUGGGUGAUAGAUUUAGAACAAACUGUAUAAUGAAGUGGAAUCAGUUGAAAAAAUAGUUAUGUAAAAAUAUUUGAAGGAACAGGGCACAGAUUUUGUAAAAUAGUGAAAGACACUAGAUUGUAAUUUUUUCAUACACUCAAUGCACGGAGGCUAUGCCUAUUUAUAGGCUUGAACCACCGACAAUCAAAGGUGAUUUUUGAAUU